rnacentral:misc_RNA from 1 species
UGCAAUACCUCCACUUUGGAGCCUUCAUUUUGCAGGGGAAAAGAAAACAAGAGAUGGAUUUGAAGGCAUACAAAAGGACCAUGGCAUAUCGCUGGAAAAUAUUUUUGUGGGAUUUUACAAAGAAGUAUUUGUGGGCCAUUUCCUAUUUGCAUUCUCCAUCAGUGAUAAGAAAGACAAGAAAACAACAAGAGUAGUUGCCCAAUAGCUUUUUUCCAGCAACAAAGUGCAGUGUACAGUGUCGUAAGCCUCUUUGUCAAUUCCUGUGUGUUAGGAAUAAGUUUCUGCAGGAGCCUUAGGCACUUUUGUUAGUCUCAUUGAUCAACAAACCAAAGUGAUCAUCUAUAGUAAAAUACAAAGAAUCCCAUGUGCUUUGAGAAACGUGGGAUGGCAAUGGUUCGAGCAUUUUUGGAUACCCCAUCUGAUUGAAUCCUAUUGAGAUGGGUUUGACUGGUGUAUGACCGGUUUGUGAUGAGUUUAGGUUUAGGAAAUAAUACCAUGUCAAGUUCAAGUUUUAUG